UUAUUGACUCGGAGAAGUGGCCAACCUUCAGAAUCCUGGGAGGCUCAUAAGGCAGCAAUCCAAGCACUCAUAAAGCUGCCUUCAGGCGAGCUUGUUACAGGUUCAAGUGAUACAACUUUAAAACUUUGGAGAGGAAGCAAAUGUACACAUACUUUUGUUGGGCAUACAGAUCAAAUAUAGGCUGAUGCACUUGUUCUGAGGGGGAUCAGUUGCACAUUUGAGGAAGGGCACAAAAUACGUAUUGUUGGCAGAAUUGGCAGUGGCAAGACCACUCUCAUAAAGAUGAACCUGUUUUGUCCAGUGGAGCUAGCUAGAGGGAAGAUAUAGUAAUGUAUCUAUUGAAACCUGUAGUAUUCCAUGUAAUGUUCACUUUUUACGUAACUUUUAAAUUUUAAGUGUUCAUUUUUUUUU